UGGAGGUAUCUGCUACUCAAAUCGAGAAAUCCACGGACAAAAGAGAGGGAAAACUCAGAAUUGAGAGGAAGGAAGCCAGCAUACUUACCUGCUGGAAGUCCGGAGUCAAGUGGCUGGAUGAAGGAGAGAAGCAACGUCGGCUAACCACUCACAUUUCGUCCGGAGAGCUGCUGCAAUUCCAACACCAGUGUGUGUGUUGGGCUUUUGUGAAACAGAGCAACGGUCAGGUUUUUUGGAGAGGACAGAAAAGUCCGAGGACCAGGACAAAAUUCCGGUCGUGAUAGAUGGCGAGCCAACCACUUUGAGGACGAUCCGCCCCAAAGAAGAUACACACCCACACACUCAUACAUUCCAAUUACACUCACAAGAACCUUUGAAGUUGGCUUUUGCCAACUUAACUCUAAAUUCUUAAAGGGCCCCAACGAGUACUUUUAUUUUGUUUAAGUGUGCACACUAUUUAUUUUAUUUUAUAC